GAUGAAGAACGUGGCGAAAUGCGAUAAGUAAUGUGAAUUGCAGAAUCCAGUGAAUCAUCGAAUCUUUGAACGCACAUUGCGCCCGCCAGCAUUCUGGCGGGCAUGCCUGUUCGAGCGUCAUUUCAACCCUCGACCUCCCUUUGGGGAAGUCGGCGUUGGGGACCGGCAGCACACCGCCGGCCCUGAAAUGGAGUGGCGGCCCGUCCGCGGCGACCUCUGCGUAGUAAUCCAACUCGCACCGGAACCCCGACGCGGCCACGCCGUAAAACACCCAACUUCUGAACGUUGACCUCGAAUCAGGUAGGACUACCCGCUGAACUUAAGCAUAUCAAUAAGCGGAGGA
rnacentral:misc_RNA from 1 species